rnacentral:rRNA from 1 species
AUGGUGGCCGAGUACGGCGCCCUGCAGUACGGCCGCCCGUUCGUGUUCUGGCUCGGGCCACGGCCGCGGCUGGUGGUCUCCGGCCCGGAGGUCGCGAAGGACGUGCUGACCGACUCCACGGGGACCUUCAGAAAGGGUUCCGGGAGCAACGUGAAUCCGCUCUCUCGGCAGCUCCUCGGCGAGGGGCUGGUGGCGCUCACCGGGGAGAAGUGGGCGCACCACCGCCGUGUGAUAUCGCCCGCCUUCAACAUGGAGAGAAUCAAGGGUUGGAUUCCUGAAAUAUCAGCUAUCACCUCAUCCAUGCUGGAUAAAUGGGAAGUUCAAGGAGAAACCCGCGCUGAGUUUGAGAUUGAUUCCCCGGAAGAAUUCCACACUUUGAGUGCGGAUGUCAUUUCUUGUAUAGCAUUUGGAAGUAGCUACGAGGAAGGAAAGCGAAUUUUUCAAUUGCAAGAUGAACAGGUACAACUUGCCCUCCUUGCAAUGAGAACCUUCUACUUUCCUGGAUUCAGGUUUGUGCCGACAAAGAAGAAACAAAGAAGGCAUAGCCUAAACAAGGAAAUCCGAAAUUCUUUGCGCAGAUUGAUUGAGAUCAAUCGAAAGAAGUGUGAAGAUUCCAAAAAUUUGCUUGGCUUGAUGCUAUCAGCCAGCAAAACUGACAAGGAGUUUAAAAUGGGAAUCGAAGAGAUCAUUGAUGAGUGCAAAACAUUUUACUUUGCCGGUAAAGAAACAACUGCAAAUUUAUUGACAUGGGCAACACUUCUGCUGGCAUUGUAUAAAGAAUGGCAACACAAGGCCCGAGCCGAAGUCCUGCAAGUGUGUGGCAAGAACAAGCACCCAAAUGCGGAAACCUUGAGCAGUCUCAAAAUUGUAAAUAUGGUGUUGAAGGAGACCCUCAGGCUAUACCCUCCAGCUCUGUUCGUCAACAGGACAUUCACUAGGGAUGUGAAGCUAGGAAAACUCGACAUCCCUGCGGGCACACAGCUCAAUAUGCCUAUUAUUGAGAUGCACCAUGAUGUCAACAUUUGGGGAGCUAAUGCGGAGGAGUUUGAUCCAUCAAGGUUUGCAGAUGGCAAGAGCUAUCACCUCGGCGCGUACUUCCCCUUUGGGAUUGGCCCUGCCAUCUGUGUUGGCCAGAAUCGCACGAUGGUUGAGGCAAAGCUGGCGCUUGCAAUGGUCCUCCGGGGCUUUGCGUUUGAUGUCUCGCCGUCCUAUGUUCAUGCGCCGAUGAUGGCGAUGACCCUCCAACCCCAGUACGGUGCUCAGGUUCUUGUCCACAAGAUCUAA